CACUUUAUACGCAUUGUCAGUCAAACAAUGCCCUGGCUGCGGCCUUGCCUCAAUCCCUUACUACAUGCGGUAACCAAUCCUACAAGAUCCGGUGCGACACAAGUGUACUCAGAUUUGACACGCUCAACAAUUCCUAUCUAAUAAUUUCCAUCAACCAAGCAAAGUAGCCAACGACUAGUGAUACAACCAACAGAUCUUUUACCAAGUACCUGCAUUGCAUUUGAUCUUAUCCACCAAGGUAUCCAGUUGG
rnacentral:misc_RNA from 1 species